rnacentral:lncRNA from 1 species
UUUAAUUCUUCUCUUAUAAAUUAACUUUUUUAAAAUUAGAAAUUAUGUUAUAAAUAAUUUAUUACCCAUAUUAAUAACUUUAAAAAGGUAUCUUUAAAGGAGUAGGAAAAAAAGUCAUAUCAAUUUUCUUUGAAUAAAAAAUUAUAACAACUCCAUUUAAUGAUUAGCUUAUAUGAUUUUUAAUUUAAUUAGAAACUAAAAUUAGAAAAACAUAUUUUUGCAACAAUGACACUUUUUAAAAA